UCACACUUCAACAGAAACAGGAGAAGCUGAAGGGGGAGGGCUACAUCCAGCCCAGGCUCUGUGGUUACUCCUAGAGGAAGAAUGACCUAACAGAGAUUCAUGGGAGGUGCUGGAUGACUCUGAAAGCACAGCCAUUGUGCUUUUAGACCUGGCCUGAGAGUUCACACAACACAGCAAGUACGCUUGGAUUUGGAUGUGCCCAGCAGAGGUGCCUCACGACAUGGGAGUGGAUAUCUUGUCUUCCAGCUGGCCAAGUCCCCAAGCACAGCUUCCUGAUGUGAGAAACAGCCUGUGCCCUGAGGAACCUGCCCACAGGACAUUCCCUGAGGCCUCGGGAGAUGAGGGCACUCUAUGACGAGGAAGCCUGAUUUGUAGCCAGCUCUGCACAGUGCGAAUCCCAAGGUGCUGGCCUAAGGGCUCCGGGGCUCCUACAGUGGAAACAGUUUUCAGGUGACUAAACUAGAAGAUCGAAGUCACCAGAACCAUUUGGAGAGGCUGCUGAGCCCAUGGCUCCUGCUAGGAAUGGUGUGCACCUUGCAGUUUAUGAGGAGGAGCUGUGCUGUGUUGAGAAACUGCAGCUUGCUGCUGUCAUUAGUGCCAUGGGGAACUUGCUGGAGCCGUUCCUGACCUGUAAAUCCUGAACCAGAAGAUUGGGUAGAGCAUGACACCUCCCCCCCCCCAGGGGUUGGGAACAGAAGUGUUACCACCCACGCCUUCUACAACAGUGGACACACACCUAAGUUCCAGGGAAUCCGACAUCCUCACAGAUGUAGGCAAAAUGCCAACACAUAUGGACUGGAAAUAAAUUUUAAAAAGAGAUAAAAUACCUGUCGAUAUGUUAUCAGAAAGCUCUCAAACCAAGAAGGGGAGAAACCCAGGACCAAAGCACCCAUGAGUUGGCAUCUUGUUACUCCACACGUCCUGUUACAGAGAUGCCAGCGUAUUGAUCUGAAGAAACAAUGCAUUAAGUGGCUGUGGGUAUGCUAAACUUUUGGCCAAGAUACUGAGGGAAGCCAAAGAAAAUGCCAUGAACAGAUUGCCAAGAGAUGUAGGCUGUCUUCGCCGAGAGAGCUUCUACUUCUGAGUCCAGUCUAAGUCAGAACUUUAAGAGUAACAAAUAAGGCGGGUGGUUCAGAGGUCCUGAGUCGCAACCUGGCAGUGGUGGUGCACAGAAACCCUGCCUCAAAAAACAAAAAGAGUAACAAAUUAAUGAUCAGACCUUGGUGGGGGUAGUGUUAUACCAGGGAGAGGAGAUGGCACAGCAGUCAAGAUGCCCACCAGCAAGCCUGAUGACCUGGUGUGAUCCUUGGAACCCGCAUAAAAAUCUCUAUGUGGCAGCACCCAUUAGAAAUCCUGGCAUGCCUACCAAGGUGGAAGGUGGAGACAGAAGAAUCCGCCAGAAUCACAUACUCGGAACUGCAGCAGAAACAAGAUAGAUCCUGCCUCAAAAACAAGGCUGAAGGAGAAUUGGUUGACCUUGACACAAGCGUGUGACACACACACUUAAAAAUACUCUUUUGUUUGUUUUUAAAAGUAAAUGUAUUUAUUACAGGG